rnacentral:lncRNA from 1 species
AUUCAUUCAUACAAAUGCCCAUUCCAUCAUUUUUUAUAAAAGAAAAUAGGAAGAAAAAACUUUGACCAAGGUUGACUUUGGUCAACUUUGACCAAGGUCAACACCCUUUUUUCUAUAGUCUUGACUUCCACAUUUUCAAUCUUCAUAACAUUCAUUACUAGCAUUCAUCCAUAUGAUUUUCAAUUUCAUUACCAAAGUGUGUACUCAUAAAAUCAUAACACAUAACAUGUUUCCAUUAUGCAAAGUUUACAAGUCCCUACAUCAACAAAAUCCUAUUAUCCAAACUCAUAUGGCACGAUCCAAAAGAAUACAUAACUCAUGCAUUUUGCAAGCCUAAUGGUAUCCCAUCCUAAUGCCUAAAACAUGUCAUACUUCAAGACGGAAAACAUGCUGCUUGGGAUUGGCAACCAAUGUCUUCCAUGCUCCUUUCACCAUUAGAUUGUCCAUGCUUCCAUUGAACCAACAACAAGACCUUACCAUGCUUUACAAACCUGCAACAGCUCUAACAUUUUAACCACCCUACAAUACCAGUUCAACAUUAGUCCAAGUUAGCAACAAUGUCAUUUGCAUCAGGCUAAGCAAAUGCAUCAAUGCAUAACAACAUGACCAUAUACGCAGACCUUCAAGCAACAUUGGCACUGCAUCAAUCCAACAUGACAUCAUGGGCAAUGCAAACCUACAAUGCAUAACAAGUAGGCCUUCCGCAAACAACAUCUUGCAGAAGCAAAUCAAUUCAAGCAACAAUAAUAGAAAUGCAUUUACAUGAGCUAACAACAUACCACAACCAUGAAAUAAAAUUAACCUUCUAACUGAACCCAAAACAAAACUAGUAUGUUCACAACCAGUUAACUCAUUCAAAACCAAUUCACUCAUAUCCAACUCAGCAAGAAUUGAAAUUAGAAAUCAAAGCGGGACCACACUAGUUUUCACUAUAGACAAAAUCACAUUUCAAUCACAUAUUCUUUCACGGAACACAAUUGUCCUUAUAGACUCACACUCACUCUUCACACACUUACAUCAUACGAGUCUCACAUACGACUAACUCUAUUUAAACUUUGAGUUUUUGCAUCUUUGGGGUGCGAAAAUUGGAUACUCCCUUGCACACAAAAUCAUAACUGAUAUAAAGAAACCAAUUCACUCACACAAUAACACACACAAAGAAUCAUUCAACUUAACUCCAUCUCUGAAAUCUCUCAAUCUGACUCACAAGAAGAGGAAGUGAAGACAAAAAAGAGAGAUAAUUAACUUACCUGGAUUCAAAGUAAUUUGAAUUCAUCAGAGCCAUCGUGCCAAAGUUUCUUUUUC